CCUACGGGAGGCAGCAGUGGGGAAUUUUGGACAAUGGGCGCAAGCCUGAUCCAGCAAUGCCGCGUGCAGGAUGAAGGCCUUCGGGUUGUAAACUGCUUUUGUACGGAACGAAAAAGUCUGCCCUAAUACGGUGGGCCCAUGACGGUACCGUAAGAAUAAGCACCGGCUAACUACGUGCCAGCAGCCGCGGUAAUACGUAGGGUGCGAGCGUUAAUCGGAAUUACUGGGCGUAAAGCGUGCGCAGGCGGUUAUAUAAGACAGAUGUGAAAUCCCCGGGCUCAACCUGGGACCUGCAUUUGUGACUGUAUAGCUAGAGUACGGUAGAGGGGGAUGGAAUUCCGCGUGUAGCAGUGAAAUGCGUAGAUAUGCGGAGGAACACCGAUGGCGAAGGCAAUCCCCUGGACCUGUACUGACGCUCAUGCACGAAAGCGUGGGGAGCAAACAGGAUUAGAUACCCUGGUAGUCCACGCCCUAAACGAUGUCAACUGGUUGUUGGGUCUUCACUGACUCAGUAACGAAGCUAACGCGUGAAGUUGACCGCCUGGGGAGUACGGCCGCAAGGUUGAAACUUAAAGGAAUUGACGG
rnacentral:rRNA from 1 species